CACACAGCAGCUCUACUACUGACCAAUCACCAAACAGCGCCAGUGACAGACAAAGCAGCUGUACUAUGUCAUUCAGUCAAGAAUACGGAGAAUGUUUCAGACAGAGAAAAGAUAUGAACAUUGCUUCAUCUACUGGUGCCUGUGGCAUGCUGUGUAGUUGUUUUGAAUUGGUGAACCUCUAAUACAGAAUGUAUCAGAAAGCUCUGAAACUAACCGUUACCAACUAAUAGUAACUGCUAAUAAAACUGUAAAUACCUGCAGUAUGAGUUGAAAGCAGUUUGAAAGUGAAACACUGUGUUAGAUGACUUACUGUAUGAGGUGGUUAUGGGUAGAUGUAGCAGCAGUUAGAUGACUUACUGUAUGAGGUGGUUAUGGGUAGAUGUAGCAGCAGUGUUAGAUGACUUACUGUAGGAGGUGGUUAUGAGUAGAUGUAGCAGCAGUGUUAGAUGACUUACUGUAUGAGGUGGUUAUGGGUAGAUGUAGCAGCAGUGUUAGAUGACUUACUGUAGGAGGUGGUUAUGGGUAGAUGUAGCAGCAGUGUUAGAUGACUUACUGUAGGAGGUGGUUAUGGGUAGAUGUAGCAGCAGUGUUAGAUGACUUACUGUAUGAGGUGGUUAUGGGUAGAUGUAGCAGCAGUGUUAGAUGACUUACUGUAGGAGGUGGUUAUGGGUAGAUGUAGCAGCAGUGUUAGAUGACUUACUGUAGGAGAUGGUUAUGGGUAGAUGUAGCAGCAGUGUGUUAGAUGACUUACUGUAGGAGGUGGUUAUGGGUAGAUGUAGCAGCAGUGUUAGAUGACUUACUGUAGGAGGUGGUUAUGGGUAGAUGUAGCAGCAGUGUGUUAGAUGACUUACUGUAGGUGGUGGUUAUGGGUAGAUGUAGCAGCAGUUAGAUGACUUACUGUAUGAGGUGGUUAUGGGUAGAUGUAGCAGCAGUGUUAGAUGACUUACUGUAUGAGGUGGUUAUGGGUAGAUGUAGCAGCAGUUAGAUGACUUACUGUAGGAGGUGGUUAUGGGUAGAUGUAGCAGCAGUUAGAUGACUUACUGUAUGAGGUGGUUAUGGGUAGAUGUAGCAGCAGUUAGAUGACUUACUGUAGGAGGUGGUUAUGGGUAGAUGUAGCAGCAGUUAGAUGACUUACUGUAUGAGGUGGUUAUGGGUAGAUGUAGCAGCAGUGUUAGAUGACUUACUGUAGGAGAUGGUUAUGGGUAGAUGUAGCAGCAGUGUUAGAUGACUUACUGUAUGAGGUGGUUAUGGGUAGAUGUAGCAGCAGUGUUAGAUGACUUACUGUAUGAGGUGGUUAUGGGUAGAUGUAGCAGCAGUGUGUUAGAUGACUUACUGUAGGUGGUGGUUAUGGGUAGAUGUAGCAGCAGUUAGAUGACUUACUGUAUGUGGUGGUUAUGGGUAGAUGUCGCAGCAGUUAAAUAGAUGACUUACUGUAUGAGGUGGUUAUGGGUAGAUGUAGCAGCGGUUAGAUGACUUACUGUAUGAGGUGGUUAUGGGUAGAUGUAGCAGCAGUGUUAGAUGACUUACUGUAGGUGGUGGUUAUGGGUAGAUGGAGCAGCAGUGUUAGAUGACUUAUUGUAUGAGGUGGUUAUGGGUAGAUGUAGCAGCAGUUAGAUGACUUACUGUAUGAGGUGGUUAUGGGUAGAUGUAGCAGCAGUUAGAUGACUUACUGUAUGAGGUGGUUAUGGGUAGAUGUAGCAGCGGUUAGAUGACUUACUGUAUGAGGUGGUUAUGGGUAGAUGUAGCAGCAGUUAGAUGACUUACUGUAUGAGGUGGUUAUGGGUAGAUGGAGCAGCAGUGUUAGAUGACUUACUGUAGGAGGUGGUUAUGGGUAGAUGUAGCAGCAGUUAGAUGACUUACUGUAUGAGGUGGUUAUGGGUAGAUGUAGCAGCAGUGUUAGAUGACUUACUGUAUGAGGUGGUUAUGGGUAGAUGUAGCAGCAGUGUUAGAUGACUUACUGUAUGAGGUGGUUAUGGGUAGAUGUAGCAGCAGUGUUAGAUGACUUACUGUAUGAGGUGGUUAUGGGUAGAUGUAGCAGCAGUGUUAGAUGACUUACUGUAUGAGGUGGUUAUGGGUAGAUGUAGCAGCAGUGUUAGAUGACUUACUGUAUGAGGUGGUUAUGGGUAGAUGUAGCAGCAGUGUUAGAUGACUUACUGUAUGAGGUGGUUAUGGGUAGAUGUAGCAGCAGUGUUAGAUGACUUACUGUAUGAGGUGGUUAUGGGUAGAUGUAGCAGCAGUUAGAUGACUUACUGUAUGAGGUGGUUAUGGGUAGAUGUAGCAGCAGUUAGAUGACUUACUGUAUGAGGUGGUUAUGGGUAUAUGUAGCAGCAGUGUUAGAUGACUUACUGUAUGAGGUGGUUAUGGGUAGAUGUAGCAGCAGUUAGAUGACUUACUGUAUGAGGUGGUUAUGGGUAGAUGUAGCAGCAGUUAGAUGAUUUACUCUAUGAGGUGGUUAUGGGUAUAUGUAGCAGCAGUGUUAGAUGACUUACUGUAGGAGGUGGUUAUGGGUAGAUGUAGCAGCAGUUAGAUGACUUACUGUAUGAGGUGGUUAUGGGUAGAUGUAGCAGCAGUUAGAUGACUUACUGUAUGAGGUGGUUAUGGGUAGAUGUAGCAGCAGUUAGAUGAUUUACUCUAUGAGGUGGUUAUGGGUAUAUGUAGCAGCAGUGUUAGAUGACUUACUGUAGGAGGUGGUUAUGGGUAGAUG